AGAAAACAUAGUCCAGUUCAAAUCUUAUGAGAUGUUCUCUAUCAAAGAUAAUUAAAUGCCAACAAUUUUCAUGCCAAAUGUCUACCCACGCAGAUAGCACAGGAGAGAACACACCUAUUAUCAAAGGGGGAACACAUACCCUACAGCAAGUACAGCAAACAACGUAUGACGAUCAUAUUUUCUUUAAAUCACCAAGAAAUUCUUGAAGAUCUUCCAACUUUGCAUUGAAAAGGCCAUGAUUUGAUGUCAACAAAUCUCUGUUUGGAUCACAAAUCCUCUUUGUUCUGAUGCAGCCUGCAUCUUCGAUCCUUUUGGUCCUCAGUUUCUCUACUUUCGUACGAAGUUCAGAUGCAGUUCUCAUCAUCUCUAGAAGCAUGUCAUGUGCAGAAUUUUGCUCAUAUAGCUGUAAUGCUUCAUUGACCAGUGCAGCACAAUUAUCACUUGAAGCAGAUUGUCUUUCCAAUGCUUGAAGCUCACGAUUCAUUUCAGAGGACUCCUUCCCAAUCAAAGUAAGCCUAUUUCUCAAGGAAUCCAACUGUGCAUCCAGAUCUGGAUCACAGAUCACAUCAUGGCAUGUCAUACUUUCAUCGAGUGAUUCACUUUUUGGUAAAGAGAAACCUUGAGGCACUGCAAAACAGUGGCGAAGACAGUAUUCCUGCCACAUACCCAAUCUUCUUCCCACAUUUGAUAGUAUUACAUUGCGAAUAUGAUCAAUACCCUGGUUUAGAUGUUGAGAUCUAUCAGUGCCUUCGGUUUUCAAAAGGUUCGAAGCUUCUUGAUGAUAGAAAUCGAAAGCGUCAUCGAACAAAUUCUCGACGGUGUUAAGGAUUUCGUUGACGAGAACUCGGGGUUUUAGAUUCAGCGAUUCGAAAACCGCCUCGCUUUCACUGCCUUCCAUUGAUGAAUAGCCCUAAUUUUCAAUUUUUCUCUCUGGAGAGGAAAGAGAUGAGAGGAGGAAAGGCUGGGGCCAUUGAAAUAUCAGAGUUCAAUGAUUGAUUAUUUCCCGCUAAAGAGC
rnacentral:misc_RNA from 1 species